AUUGAACGCUGGCGGCAGGCUUAACACAUGCAAGUCGAGCGGAGUGAUGGUGCUUGCACUAUCACUUAGCGGCGGACGGGUGAGUAAUGCUUAGGAAUCUGCCUAUUAGUGGGGGACAACAUCUCGAAAGGGAUGCUAAUACCGCAUACGUCCUACGGGAGAAAGCAGGGGAUCACUUGUGACCUUGCGCUAAUAGAUGAGCCUAAGUCGGAUUAGCUAGUUGGUGGGGUAAAGGCCUACCAAGGCGACGAUCUGUAGCGGGUCUGAGAGGAUGAGCCGCCACACUGGAACGGAGACACGGCCCAGACUCCUACGGGAGGCAGCAGUGGGGAAUAUUGGACAAUGGGGGGAACCCUGAUCCAGCCAUGCCGCGUGUGUGAAGAAGGCCUUAUGGUUGUAAAGCACUUUAAGCGAGGAGGAGGCUCUUUUGGUUAAUACCCAAGAUGAGUGGACGUUACUCGCAGAAUAAGCACCGGCUAACUCUGUGCCAGCAGCCGCCGUAACAC
rnacentral:rRNA from 1 species